rnacentral:rRNA from 1 species
GACGAACGCUGGCGGCGUGCUUAACACAUGCAAGUCGAACGGAAAGGCCCUGCUUUUGUGGGGUGCUCGAGUGGCGAACGGGUGAGUAACACGUGAGUAACCUGCCCUUGACUUUGGGAUAACUUCAGGAAACUGGGGCUAAUACCGGAUAGGAGCUCCUGCUGCAUGGUGGGGGUUGGAAAGUUUCGGCGGUUGGGGAUGGACUCGCGGGUUAUCAGCUUGUUGGUGGGGUAGUGGCUUACCAAGGCUUUGACGGGUAGCCGGCCUGAGAGGGUGACCGGCCACAUUGGGACUGGGAUACGGCCCAGACUCCUACGGGAGGCAGCAGUGGGAAAUAUUGCACAAUGGGCGGAAGCCUGAUGCAGCAACGCCGGGUGCGGGAUGACGGCCUUCGGGUUGUAAACCGCUUUCGCCUGUGACGAAGCGUGAGUGACGGUAAUGGGUAAAGAAGCACCGGCUAACUACGUG